rnacentral:rRNA from 1 species
CACGAAUUCAUGUGAGCUAAUUUAGUUUUAAGGUGUGUAGCAUAACACAUAUAGUGCAAGGUAAAUUAGGGGUGAGAGGCCUCUCAAAAAUGAGGAUAUCUUGAAGUAAAUAAAAUAAAUUGAGUUUUAAGUUGAUUACAAAGUUAUAAGAUUUUGUAAUAAAUUUAAUCUUUAUUAAUAUAGCAUAUUGGUAUAAAAACCUGUAUAGUAAGUUACUAUCAUGUAGUUAAUGGUCUUAUUAAAUUAGUUUACGGUAAUAUAACUCUUUUAUAAUCAUAAUGUUUAUAUGAGUACUUAUAAGAUAUUAGUAGUGAACUCGGCAACAAAGCUUUCAACUGUUUAUCAAAAACAUAGCCACAUGUCUCACAUGUGGUGUGUUCUGCUCAAUGAUACUUAAAUAGCCGCAGUACCCUGACUGUGCAAAGGUAGCGUAAUCAUUUGUCUUUUAAUUGGAGUCGUGUAUGAAUGAAUGCAUGGGGGCUUACUUUACCAUUAGUAUAAUUUGAAAUUACUUAAAAGGUGAAAAUGCCUUUAUUAAAAUAAUAGACGAGAAGACCCUUGAAAUUUUUUAAAUUGUUUUGUUGGGGCAACAUAGUAGAUAAACCUACUGAAUGUACAUGAAAUUUUUUUGCUUGCAUAAAUUACUCUAGGGAUAACAGCAUAAUUCUAAAGAGUUUGUGACCUCGAUGUUGGAUUAGGGAACUAUAACUUAAAA